rnacentral:rRNA from 1 species
GUGGGGAAUCUUGCGCAAUGGGCGAAAGCCUGACGCAGUCAUGCCGCGUGAAUGAUGAAGGUCUUAGGAUUGUAAAAUUCUUUCACCGGGGACGAUAAUGACGGUACCCGGAGAAGAAGCUCCGGCUAACUUCGUGCCAGCAGCCGCGGUAAUACGAAGGGGGGUAGCGUUGCUCGGAAUUACUGGGCGUAAAGGGCGCGUAGGCGGACAGCUUAGUCAGAGGUGAAAGCCCAGGGCUCAACCUUGGAAUUGCCUUUGAUACUGGCUGUCUUGAGUUUGGGAGAGGUGAGUGGAACUCCGAGUGUAGAGGUGAAAUUCGUAGAUAUUCGGAAGAACACCAGUGGCGAAGGCGACUCACUGGCCCAAUACUGACGCUGAGGCGCGAAAGCGUGGGGAGCAAACAGGAUUAGAAACCCUAGUAGUCC